rnacentral:tRNA from 1 species
GCCUGAGUGGCUCAAUGGUUGAGUGCCUGCCUUUGGCUCAGGGCGUGAUCCCAGAUUCUAGGGUUCGAGUCCCUCAUCCGGCU